rnacentral:rRNA from 1 species
AUUGAACGCUGGCGGUAGGCCUAACACCUGCAAGUCGAACGAGUGGCGGACGGGUGAGUAAUGUCUGGGAAACUGCCCGAUGGAGGGGGAUAACUACUGGAAACGGUAGCUAAUACCGCAUACCAUCGGAUGUGCCCAGAUGGGAUUAGCUCGUAGGGGGGGUAACGGCUCCCCGAGGCGACGAUCCCUAGCUGGUCUGAGAGGAGGACAGGCCACACUGUGACGUGGACACGGUCCAGACGCCUACGGGAGGCAGGAGUGGGGAAGAUUGCACAAUGGGCGCAAGCCUGAUGCAGCCAUGCCGCGGGUAGGAGGGAGGCCUUCGGGUUGUAAAGUACUUUCAGCGAGGAGGCGUUACUCGCAGAAGAAGCACCGGCGAACUCCGUGCCAGCCGCCGCGGUAAUUC